CUUCUAGUCUACAACACUCGGAAACAUGUUUGCAACUCAUUUCUUUCUUGUUAUCGGGAUCCCGUUUGCCAAUGGCAAAAGUCUUUUUCCAGACUUUGGACAGACCAGCAUUGAAUAAUAUCAAGUCACAGAUAUGCACAGAGCAUUUUUUCCGCACAAAAACAGUUUUGCCGAAGAUAAACGUGAUGGUUCUGCUCCAUGGCAGUCAUGGGUGUGCAGUAGCAAGAAAUGUCAGGAUUGCUGGGGAGACGGGCCUAAUAAGGGUAAUAUUUUACAGAUGUCGAUAAAUAUCAUGAGUAUGGCAGGCGUGAAUUUAAGCCGCGUUCUUUGACUCUGGGCAGAAGCAAUGUUCGAAAGGCUAUACAGGGACGACAGUUUCCGAUUUUUGCUUGAAAUGAAGUCCCCAGUGUAUGGGGAAAGUGUUGCCCUGAUAAGCCUUUGCGGGCUUCAAAAGCU